rnacentral:rRNA from 1 species
GAGGAAAAGAAAUCAACCGAGAUUCCCCCAGUAGCGGCGAGCGAACGGGGAGGAGCCCAGAGCCUGAAUCAGCAUGUGUGUUAGUGGAAGCGUCUGGAAAGGCGCGCGAUACAGGGUGACAGCCCCGUACACAAAAGCGCAUGUGCUGUGAGCUCGAUGAGUAGGGCGGGACACGUGGUAUCCUGUCUGAAUAUGGGGGGACCAUCCUCCAAGGCUAAAUACUCCUGACUGACCGAUAGUGAACCAGUACCGUGAGGGAAAGGCGAAAAGAACCCCGGCGAGGGGAGUGAAAAAGAACCUGAAACCGU